UCCGUAGGUGAACCUGCGGAGGGAUCAUUACCGAGUUUACAACUCCCAAACCCCUGUGAACAUACCACUUGUUGCCUCGGCGGAUCAGCCCGCUCCCGGUAAAACGGGACGGCACGCCAGAGUUGACCCCUAAACUCUGUUUCUAUAUGUAACUUCUGUAAAACCAUAAAUCAAUCAUAACUUUCAACAACGGAUCUCUUGGUUCUGGCAUCGAUGAAGAACGCAGCACAAUGCGAUAAGUAAUAUGAAUUGCAGAAUUCAGUGAAUCAUCGAAUCUUUGAACGCACAUUGCGCUCGCCAGUAUUCUGGCGGGCAUGCCUGUUCGAGCGUCAUUUCAACCCUCAAGCACAGCUUGGUGUUGGGACUCGCGUUAAUUCGCGUUCCUCAAAUUGAUUGGCGGUCACGUCGAGCUUCCAUAGCGUAGUAGUAAAACCCUCGUUACUGGUAAUUGUCGCGGCCACGCCGUUAAACCCCAACUUCUGAAUGUUGACCUCGGAUCAGGUAGGAAUACCCGCUGAACUUAAGCAUAUCAAUAAGCGGAGGA
rnacentral:rRNA from 1 species